UAUGCUUCUUCGGGAGCAGAGACCGGCGCACGGGUGCGUAACGCGUAUGCAAUCUACCUUUCACAGAGGGAUAGCCCAGAGAAAUUUGGAUUAAUACCUCAUAGUAUAGCAGUUUCGCAUGAAACCACUAUUAAAGUCACAACGGUGAAAGAUGAGCAUGCGUCCCAUUAGCUAGUUGGUAAGGUAACGGCUUACCAAGGCAACGAUGGGUAGGGGUCCUGAGAGGGAGAUCCCCCACACUGGUACUGAGACACGGACCAGACUCCUACGGGAGGCAGCAGUGAGGAAUAUUGGACAAUGGGCGCAAGCCUGAUCCAGCCAUGCCGCGUGCAGGAUGACGGUCCUAUGGAUUGUAAACUGCUUUUAUACGAGAAGAAACCCUCCGACGUGUCGGAGCUUGACGGUAUCGUAAGAAUAAGGAUCGGCUAACUCCGUGCCAGCAGCCGCGGUAAUACGGAGGAUCCAAGCGUUAUCCGGAAUCAUUGGGUUUAAAGGGUCCGUAGGCGGUCAGGUAAGUCAGUGGUGAAAGCCCAUCGCUCAACGGUGGAACGGCCAUUGAUACUGUCUGACUUGAAUUAUUAGGAAGUAACUAGAAUAUGUAGUGUAGCGGUGAAAUGCUUAGAGAUUACAU
rnacentral:rRNA from 1 species